rnacentral:sRNA from 12 species
ACGGGUCAAAUGCAGUAGGAAACGAACCGGACCCUUUGUGAAAGGAGAGAUACUUCCCUGGCGAGAGCCUAAAACUGCCCUUUGUGGCCCCUGCACGGACGCUGCUUGCAUGGCGGGGUUAUUGUGCUACCCCCGUUUCAUGUGCCGGGGCUACGCGGUUUAGCCGCACACCUACACCACAACCGCACGGAGGCGCGAAUACUUAUUAUGACCAGC